AUUGAACGCAGGCGGCAGGUCUAACACAAGCAAGUCGAACGAGUGGCGGACGGGUGAGUAAUGUCUGGGAAACUGCCCGAUGGAGGGGUGUAACUACUGUAAACGGUAGCUAAUACCGCAUCCCAUCGGAUGUGCCCCGAUUCGAUUCGUUAGUAGGUGGGGUAAAGGGUCACCUAUGCGACGCUCCCUAGCUGGUCUGAGAGGAAGACCAGGCACACUUGAACUGGGGCACGGUCCAAAGGCCUACGGGGGGCAGGAGUGGGGAAUGUUGCACAAUGGGAGCAGGGCAGAUGCUGCCUUGCCGCGUGUAUGAAGAAGGCCUUCGGGUUGUAAAAUACUUUCAGCGGGGAGGCGUUACUCGCAGGAGAAGCACCGGCUAACCCCGUACCAGCAGCCGCGGUAAUUC
rnacentral:rRNA from 1 species